rnacentral:lncRNA from 1 species
ACAUGGCGGGUUAGCAGGGCGGGGGCUGGAAUAUAUUCCAUUCCAGGAGGUAUACCUCCAGAGGGCGCCAGAAGCAUAUAAAACCUAGAUCAAUACUUUAGUGGGCGGGACAUACACAGGCUGCCUGGGUCUUUUGCUCCGAGGCCCGCGCGUGUAUCGGACGUGUCUGCGAGAUGUGACCCGUCGAGGUCUACACACAGGCACUGGACCAAAUGCAGCGUGAUCGUCAGUCGCAGAUGCACCACCACCCGCACAACACGUACACUGUCCAGAAUGGAUUUGAACAUCGAAUCAACAGCUUCCCGGAUUCUAAAGAGAUGAACAGUAACAUCAUGAGACCAGUAUAAAAGCUUAUUCCAACAAAGCUUGACCAGUGGUUCCACAGUCUUCAUCCUCAUCUUCAAAUCCUGAAUGGAGAGACAACUAUGUUACUGUGUCACAAAUCACGCACAUCACGUGUGCCAAACACAAAUACGCCCUCUACACGCGGAGGCCUAACAGAUCUCCACUUCUAAUUUAUUUUGAUAAGUUGCUACCCUCCAAUACUUUUCUUUGAAACCUGUAAAGUUCCAGAAUGAAGUGCGAAUUACAGAAAAUGGCGACUAUCCAGAUUGUGGGCGUCUGGACUGUCACCGUGACUACGUGGAGUUGAUUAUUUACAAAGGUGGAGCAUUUGGUAUACCAUUAGUUGCAGCGGAGCUACAACCUAACACCUAUAUGAAGCUGAAGACUGGAGGAAGCUGCGGAAUGAUGUGCCGGCGCGCCACCACAAUGGAUAGUUAUUGUUAGUCAGAAUAGGAUAAGUAAAAACAAUCAUUCACAAUUGUUUCUUCUAAUCAUGAGGCCGAAUUAGAAGUUAACAAUUAUGAAAGGCUGUUACCGAAUUUAUGUUAAUUUGAAGUUGCUCAAGAGUUUGAUGUAUUUGUUUUAUACCAUUACGAUAAACCACCUAUUUUUGAUAAACGCUUUACAUUUAUAGAAGACUGAAUUAAUACCCGAGCCUGUUACCUUUUUUUGGAGCCACGGUAUGAUCGGAGCUGUUAAUUUGUUAUUCCAGCGCGAAUUUUGAUUAAUUUUGUGUUCAAUAUAAUGUGUUGUUUAGUUCCCCCGGACCGCAGGGAUUAUUGAGAGGGUAACAACUGUCUUGGGGUUUUGAAAAUAGGAAUGAAUGACUAAUGGAAAAAUACUGGGUGAGACCAGAUUGAUUUUUAAUAUCUUAUUGACUCGAUAUAUUUGUGUAGCUUGUACUUUCAAAAUUUAUUUUUAGUGUAUUGUAAAACCAUCGUUAUAUAGAAUAUACUCGUACUUCAAUGUGUAAAACUGUGUUUAGUUUUAGCGGUGUAAUCUUUUCAAGUUUAUUGUUGGAUAUUAUGUGCAUUUAGUUUGUAUUGAUGAUUUUCCAUAUGAAUUGAAAAUGAAAAUAUUUUAUGAAUUGUAAAUUUUUAUAACAUAAUUUUCCUAUCUUCUGUGUAUGUUAAUGUUGUGUUAUUGUAAAAUUUUAUUUAGUUUUAAUUGUUGUAAUAUUUUUAAUCUUUUUACCGAAAGUGCUAAUUUUAAGGGCAUUCUUACGAACUGAAAUUUCGUACGAAUGUGCAAAAAUUUUUUUUGUGAGUAUUGGAGAUAUGUUAUAAAAUAAGAGAAUAUAUUUUUUAUAAGUGCAUAUCUACGAAUUGGUGGGCUCGUAUGAUUGUACUGCGUAUUCGCUGUGAUUAUUUCUAUUUGUUAUUAUACAAGUGCAUAUUAUUUUGUAAGUGCAUUUUCACAAAUUUCUGAUUCGUACCAAUGUACUAUGUUUUUAUCGUUGUUAUAAUUUUGAUAUAUUAUAAUUGAAUAUCUUUUUUUCAUAGGUUCAUUUUUACGAAUUGGUGGGCUCGUAUAAAUGUACUUAGUUCCAAUUUAUGAAAUUAUUUCGAUAUUUAAUUUACAAGUACAUAUUUUAAGUAAAUUCAUCUGUACAAUUUUUUGUGUUGUAUUAAUGUUUUACUUUCUUGUAAUAAUUUAGGUAUUAUAAUAUUUUACAAGUGAAUAUACUUUUUUAUUGACGCAUUUUUACGAAUUGAUGGGCUCGUAUAAACGUACUAAGUUUCAGUUUAUGUAAUUAUUUCGAUAUUUAAUUUACUAUUACAUAUUUUUAAUAAGUACAUCUGUACGAAUUGGUUAGCUCGUAUAAAUGUACUAAGUUUCAAUUGAUGGAAUAAUUUUGAUAUAAUAUUAUUUAACAGGUAAAUAUAUGUACUUAUUUUAUUAGUGCAUUUUUACGAAUUGGUGGGCGCGUAUAAGUGUACUAACUUUCAAUUGAUGUAAUAAUUUCUAUAUUUAAUUUACUAGUAUAUAUUUUUAGUAAAUACAUAUAUAUAUGAAUUGGUGGGCUUGUAUAAAUGUACUAAGUUACAAUUGAUGGAAUAAUUUUGAUAUAAUAUUAUGUUACAAAUGAAUAUACUAUUUGUAUACGUUAUUUUAUUAGUGCAUUCUUAUGAAUUGGUGGGAUCGUAUGAAUGCACCGGGGUAUUGUUGUAAUUAUUUUGAUAUUUUGUUGUACAGUUGCAUAUUAUUUUGUAAGUUAAUUUUCGCGAAUUUAAGAUUUGUAUGACUAUGGUUUUGUUGGUGUAACAUUUUUUAUAUAAUAUUAUUUUCCACGUAAAUAUACUCAUAUUAUAAGUGCAUUUUUACGAAUUGGUGAGCUCGUAUGAAUGUCAUGUUUGCGUGUUUGGUGAAGUUAUUAACGAUAUGUUAUUAUUCAAGUCAUUCUAUUUAGAAGUGUAAAUGUAUUUGGUUUUCCUCAUUGUAUUUCUUAUACUUAAAUAAACUGUGACGAAAUAUCUUUGUCUGUAUACGUACAUUUUUUAAUAAUGGGUUUAAGUGUGUUAAUUUUUACCGGUGUAAUAAUAUUUGUUAUCGGUUUAGAAAUUUAUUUUUGUUGAUGAAUUCGUUAGCUUGUUCGUAUUAGAAUUUAGUUGGUUCUAUUUGCAAUUUUUUUGACUUAAUUAAGUUAGCUGAUUAAAUUAUUAUUAAUUGUAUUCAUUUUAUUUUCUUGUGAAGUCCAUGUAAAAUUGUUUUUCACGUAUACAGUACAGUAAUUAAUUAUAAAUGAUGAUGUAUUCUCGUCUGAAUGUAGUUUUUGUGUAUUGGAAUGUCGGCACUUAGUAAAAUUACCACAUUAAGUAAAAAUAUGCAACAUUUUGAAUGAAAUAUAUUUGUGCCUGUUUGAUCUUCA